UGGGGAAUAUUGCACAAUGGGCGCAAGCCUGAUGCAGCCAUGCCGCGUGAGUGAAGAAGGUUUUCGGAUCGUAAAACUCUGUUGUUAGAGAAGAACAAGGACGUUAGUAACUGAACGUCCCCUGACGGUAUCUAACCAGAAAGCCACGGCUAACUACGUGCCAGCAGCCGCGGUAAUACGUAGGUGGCAAGCGUUGUCCGGAUUUAUUGGGCGUAAAGCGAGCGCAGGCGGUUUCUUAAGUCUGAUGUGAAAGCCCCCGGCUCAACCGGGGAGGGUCAUUGGAAACUGGGAGACUUGAGUGCAGAAGAGGAGAGUGGAAUUCCAUGUGUAGCGGUGAAAUGCGUAGAUAUAUGGAGGAACACCAGUGGCGAAGGCGGCUCUCUGGUCUGUAACUGACGCUGAGGCUCGAAAGCGUGGGGAGCAAACAGG
rnacentral:rRNA from 1 species